ACCUAGUCUACUCUAGUAGUAGUCUCUAGUAUCAUCAAGUACUAGUAGAUCAUCUAGGACUAGGUCUAGAAAACAUAUAUGACAUGUGGCAUACAGACAAGUUUACUAGAUGGAUCUUUCAUCAUUUUGGAAAUACUAUAUUCCCUGUGAAACAAAUCACAGAAACAUUCUACAAUUUUAUUUUAUAUAAUAAAUACCAAUAAAUGUAAAUACAAAAUCA